GUACAGAGUUUGCAAGACAAAUGGAAGUCAACUUCUGCAAGUUUAUUUUUGAAAGCAGGUGUCAUGUAUAUUUACGUUUUUAUUAAGGAGUUUCUAUUAGGAAUGUUUAAUAUAGGAUGUCACUUUAAUAUGGAGGAAGCCUGAUACUGUAGAAGACGGAAAGUUUUGUGCCUGAGAUACCAGUCUUUAACUGUGGAGAUAUUGAAGUGCCCACGAUAGGACAAACCAGUGAUGACUUUCAAGACAUUUCGUCAGAACAGACUGUUCUGCGUAUACCAAGCACUAGGGACAACAGUGAGAGAUGUGUGUUGGGACGUUGGAGUGUGAGAGAAUGAAAAAACUGUACUCAGUUACUGUGCCAGGUGCCAUAUAAUCUAAUUAAGGAAACAUGCCGCAGUCCAAGAGGCACCAAAGACAGUCACCAUAGAAACACCACAGACAGUCACCAUAGAAACACCACAGACAGUCACCAUAGAAACACCAAAGACA